rnacentral:rRNA from 1 species
GACAGAGGGUGCAAACGUUGCUCGGAAUUAUUGGGCGUAAAGCGCGUGUAGGCGGCUCGUUAAGUCAGCUGUGAAAGCCCUCGGCUCAACCGGGGAAGUGCAGUUGAUACUGACAAGCUUGAGUUCCGAAGAGGGUGGCGGAAUGCUCAGUGUAGAGGUGAAAUUCGUAGAUAUUGGGCAGAACACCGGUGGCGAAGGCGGCCACCUGGGAGGAAACUGACGCUGAGACGCGAAGGCGUGGGUAUCAAACAGG